CCUACGGGAGGCAGCAGUGGGGAAUAUUGCGCAAUGGGCGAAAGCCUGACGCAGCGACGCCGCGUGAGGGAUGAAGGUCCUCGGAACGUAAACCUCUGUCAGCAGGGAAGAACGGUCACUGUGCUAAUCAGCAGUGAAUUGACGGUACCUGCAAAGGAAGCACCGGCUAACUCCGUGCCAGCAGCCGCGGGAAUACGGGGGGUGCGUGCGUUAAUCGGAAUUACUGGGCGUAAAGCGGUCGUAGGCGGUAUGUCAAGUCAAGGGUGAAAUCCCCGCGCUCAACGUGGGAACUGCCUUUGAAACUGGCAGACUGGAGUGUGUGAGAGGAUAGUGGAAUUCCAGGUGUAGGAGUGAAAUCCGUAGAUAUCGGGAGGAACAUCAGUGGCGAAGGCGACUAUCUGGCACAUAACUGACGCUGAGGAGCGAAAGCGUGGGUAGCAAACAGGAUUAGAUACCCUGGUAGUC
rnacentral:rRNA from 1 species